rnacentral:rRNA from 1 species
UACGUAGGGUGCAAGCGUUUGUCCGGAAUUAUUGGGCGUAAAGAGCUCGUAGGCGGUUUGUCGCGUCUGCUGUGAAAACUGGAGGCUCAACCUCCAGCCUGCAGUGGGUACGGGCAGACUAGAGUGCGGUAGGGGAGAUUGGAAUUCCUGGUGUAGCGGUGGAAUGCGCAGAUAUCAGGAGGAACACCGAUGGCGAAGGCAGAUCUCUGGGCCGUAACUGACGCUGAGGAGCGAAAGCGUGGGGAGCGAACAGG